rnacentral:rRNA from 1 species
UACAGAGGGUGCGAGCGUUGUUCGGAAUUAUUGGGCGUAAAAGGCGCGUAGGCGGGAUGGCAAGUCAGUCGUGAAAUCUCUCGGCUCAACCGAGAAACGUCGGCUGAUACUGCCGUUCUUGAGGGAUGCAGAGGAGACUGGAAUUCCCGGUGUAGCGGUGAAAUGUGUAGAGAUCGGGAGGAACACCGGUGGCGAAGGCGGGUCUCUGGGCAUCUCCUGACGCUGAGGCGCGAAAGCGUGGGGAGCGAACAGG